UGCAGAAUUUGCGCCGCAGAAUUUUAGUUUUUCACGCAGAAUUUGUGAUUUCGAACAUAACGCUUCCUUUUUCCGAUUUUGCGUGUUUCAAAUAUAUUAAUUACUUCUCCAGUUAACGUCUUUGCGCACACAUGAGCACUUUCUGGGCUGUGUGAUCAGCGAGACACAACGUAAAAACCGUAUGGUGUACUACGACAUGUUUAUGAAGCAGUCAAUAAAAAUAUAACGACAAAGUACCAGUACUUCCCAAAGUAGCCAGUUGGGUCUGGAUGAAGUUACCAGCAAAGGACAAAGGGCAAAGAGCAGUUCUUUUUGCACAGCGUGAAGGGCCGCCGCCUUCACAUGCAUCAAAAAGUGUUACUCCAGCUUCUUGUGCUUGAGAAUUCCCUUCAAAACUGCAUGCGGAUGGUGACAAAUAGUUUUGCACAUUCUAUAAUGUUGUUCUCAUGACCGACGGUCUGUAAUUAUGUAUCAUUUUGAUUAAAAACAAACAAACAAAAAACAAACAGAAGACGCGGCUCAACAGUAUGGCUUAAAAAACGUCAGAAGACCAUUACGAGCACACUGAAAAACAAAACACAGGCUGAGAAAGAACGUGUAGAGGAGCCAUAUUCCUGUUCCGUGGAGCCUUCCUAAGAUGCAGUGAAAGGGGCCAUUAGGACAAACGCCUCCAGCUUGUAGCCGUGUAGAACAUGUUACCUAAUACAGCGAUCAGAGAGAGACACCUGAUAGGGCGAAAUACCAGGGGAACAAUUUUUAUUUGGAAUGUGGAAUCUGCUUCCCCAUUGGCUUGUCUCUCGCUGUAAUUGAAAAAAUAAGAUAGAUCUCAGAUUCUGAGCAUGAAGGACAGACAGACAGAGGUAUGAAUACAAAGCAACAACACUGCAUCUUGUUCCAGGUGGCUGGCGAUUAACAAUAUUCUAUCGUUAUGCUCACUGCUGCCCAUCAACUGUUGUGGCUGUUCAGAAUGCUACAUCUGGUACUAAUAGGGUGUUUCUGGUAUGACACACUUUUACCAACAGCUCUAGACCCCAGUUAUUUUUAGAGGCCAAUACAUAAAUGUAACUUUCUCUUUAAUAGAAACAGUGAAUUUCUUGGUUAUCAAAAAACAAAACAACAACAAAAAAAAAAACACAUUCAGGGCUAAACACCAGCACAUUAAGAGGUUUAGUGUGUGACCUUUACACAAGUCUAUUCAUCUCUCAUUACUAAGUAACCUGUAGUAGGUGCUACAUAUUGUUUUCUUAGGGACACUUUUUUCUAGCUGAUUUUUUAAGGUUGACAGCUCUUUUUGGGACUGAGUUAUUUUUUUCUGUACCCUUUUUUUUUACUGUAGAAGUGGACUGUGUCGCCAGUCUUCUUUUUUAUUUUAUCGCCACUAUUGUAGGUGAAAAUCGCUAAAGCAGCAGCAACCAUACAGAGUACCAUGUAAAAUGUAUAUGGAAAUGCUGGUAAUGUUGUUAUUACAAGAUUCUGGUUUUACAAAUAUUGGUUUUACAUUUAUUGAUCAAAUCAUCUCUUCCAUAAGUUUACCGUGGUCACUGGCAAAUUUCCAUUAUUAUUAUUAUUAUUAUUAUUAUUAUUAUUAUUAUUAUUAUUAUUAUUAUUAUUAUUAUUAUUAAUUUAUUUGGUAGACACCUUUAUCCAUGCUUCUACUAGGCAUGCACAGUGCUUUACAGUUUGUUUUUGUUUUGUUUUACCUUGCUUUUGUGUGAUUUACCUUGCUUUUACCAUGUUUUACCACACAUUGCUAUGAUUUUAGCAUAGUAGACCACUAGAUAAAUAUAAUCUAGGGCCAUAAUGUGUCUUAGCAGUGUUGGAAGGCCCAUUUAAGCCACGCCAUGCCUUUACAAAAAGGAUGAAUGGAAAUGUGUUAUGAUUUUAUUUUCCUCAACAGCACUAAUUUACAUCACUGUUUGUGUUAUGCAUUUGGAAUUAUGUUAAAUAAACUGAUUAA